AUUGAACGCUGGCGGCAUGCCUUACACAUGCAAGUCGAACGGUAACAGGUCUUCGGAUGCUGACGAGUGGCGAACGGGUGAGUAAUACAUCGGAACGUGCCCAGACGUGGGGGAUAACGAGGCGAAAGCUUUGCUAAUACCGCAUACGAUCUAAGGAUGAAAGCAGGGGACCGCAAGGCCUUGCGCGUUUGGAGCGGCCGAUGGCAGAUUAGGUAGGUGGUGGGAUAAAAGCUUACCAAGCCGACGAUCUGUAGCUGGUCUGAGAGGACGACCAGCCACACUGGGACUGAGACACGGCCCAGACUCCUACGGGAGGCAGCAGUGGGGAAUUUUGGACAAUGGGCGAAAGCCUGAUCCAGCAAUGCCGCGUGCAGGAUGAAGGCCUUCGGGUUGUAAACUGCUUUUGUACGGAACGAAAAGGCUCUGGCUAAUACCUGGGGCACAUGACGGUACCGUAAGAAUAAGCACCGGCUAACUACGUG
rnacentral:rRNA from 1 species